rnacentral:piRNA from 1 species
UUAUGAGCUGUAAGGCUGAUUGCGAAGGU